rnacentral:tRNA from 1 species
AAGAAUAUAAUUUAAUGGUAAAAUAAGAAGCUUCAAACUUCAAGUUCUCAGUUCGAGUCCGAGUAUUCUUG